rnacentral:lncRNA from 1 species
AAAAGAGAGGGUAGAAGAGGUAUACCCAAUGUCAUAAGACUCUGGCCCAAAAGUGUGCUCAUAUUUCACUGGCCAGAGUUUGGUCACCUGACCAAACUUAACCACAAGGAAUGCUGGGAAAUGUAGUGUAACUGGGCAGCCAUAUUUGCCCAGCUACAAUUCUAUUAUUAUGGAACAAAGGGAGAACAGAUUUGGUUGCUCACCAGCAGUCUUCUCCAUACCUUGCGUCAUGGAUAAGGCCCAGAAGUUCCUGCAUGCAUUUAAAGGGGUCUUUGACCGCAGCUGUUUGAGAUCCGUGGUUUGCCAUCAGGCACCAUAAGAAGGGAUGAAGUGACUUUCACAGCAGAGGAUAAGGGUGGAUCACCGACACCCAGAGAGGUCUAUAGAGUCAGUGAGAGCUGAGAUGAGGCCAGCCCAGCCAAAGAACACCAUUGUUCCUGACCAAGCUGAGAGAGACUAGACCACAGGUUAAACCAGCUGCCAAUGUCAACUGCAGAGGCCAGCCAGGUGGGCAGCAACAGGACCGCCAAGGAGCACCACAAAAAACAGAGGACACGACAUAGCUCUGAGGACCCACCACUCCACUGCCUUAAGCCCACAAUUUAUUAUUUCUCUCUCUCACCAGACCAUAAGUUCCGUGAGGUUGAGGACCACUUCUGUGUUAUUCAUCAGUUUAUCCUCAGCACCCAGUACAAUGCCCCGCCCAAAGUAAAGCUCCAUUCCUAUUUGUUGAACAGAAGAGUAAAUGAAUGUUUGACUCCUACACAGCCCAAUACAAGCAUCACCUCGCUGCAGAAGCUUUUCCUGACCCCUCCCAGCUAAAUUGGGCUUCCUGGUAUGGUACUCAUCACGGUGUAUUGUGGACAUUGAUUUUUCUCAUAUUUUUCCCCAUCCCCAGGCCAGUUGAUUAUUAAGACAAAGGAUUGUGUUUAUUCUUUGUGCUGACCACAGUGCCUGGCCCCCAUGGCAAGGGGUCCAUACAUGUCUAUUGGAUUAAUGAAAAUUGAAUACAUGAAAACUACCAGGUUCCGUGACAGCUCACAGCUCCAGCUACAAUCGCCUCCAGGAGGACAGAGCUUCAUUCCCCCUUGUAACCCUGCUCCAGCAUAGUGCCGGGCACAGAGAAGCAGCGGCUGUUCUUGACAGUCUUUGGAUAAUUCCAUAUUCAUUCGUUCGUUCGUUCUCUCGCUCACUCGUCUAUCCGUGUAUCUGUUCCCAGAGGCCCAGACUAAAUGGCAUAAACUUCAGCACUCUUUCCUGAAAGAUCCCAAAGCAACUCUUCAGCUUAUUGGCGAGAGGGACUGUCAGCCUCUUAAUACAGAAGAGGACCUGGGGCCCAAGAAAUGGGAGAGGACGUGACCUACAGAAUCAGGAACGAGGGAAGCUCUUAGGCUCCCAUGUGCCCCCUGCUAACCUGGGUCCACAGGAGUCCUUCCACCCUGGCCAGUGACCUCCUCAAAGCCACCGGGAGUCGACUACACGCGGGGACAGAAUAGACCAGCAGAAAGCAAAAGCUCAAAACCUGUGUGGACACUCAUCUGAAUACGUUACCCGCUGGGAACCUGGCCCCACGAGGUUCCAACUGACAGGAAAUAAUAGCACACGGAUGGAAAAAGCUCUAACCUUGUCACGACAACCAUGUAGGGCGGGGCCUUAAGGAAAGCUCUGGAGUGGCAGUGGACCACCUGACUGACCUGGAUGCCUGGAGACUAACUUUUACAAAGAUGAAGGUCCCCUCUGCAAAAGAAGGCGGCUCCCUGGUGCCUUAGAAACUGACGAGUGUAGCUCGAAGCUCUGCAGGCACGUUUUCUUGCUCCAGAAGGCAGUGAGAGUCUCUCGGGCUGUUGUGCAGCUGCAAGAACUCAUAAAGCCAGUACCGUGACUUCAUCUCUGGCCUGGGAGCAGAAUAUGACACAGAGCAGGAGCCAUCAGCUAGUGCUAAAUUGAGGUGAACAGGAAAGACUGGGAAAGACUGGAAAAGUCUGGAGUCUAGUUGCAUACAUUCAAAACUGCACCCUGCUAUGAUGGAAGAAUUUUGCCAUAAGUUAACAGUAUCUUGAAUACACAUUGAGGGGACUGGUAUGUGUGCAGGUAUCUGACUCAGGUUUCAUUUAAGAGAUGCCCGAUAUCCUUCAUCUGGCUCUGAAAUGGCUUGUUGGGUCUCCACCACACAGGGAAUUCAUUCUAGCUUUGAGUUGGUUUUGGUCAUUCCCUAAUGCUGAGGGGGGUGUGUGUGUUUAGUGGUAUACAUUUGAGUAGGGAGUUUGAGAGAUGUUGCGCUUCGGAACUGUGAAAAUUCUCUUGCUUUGGUAGGAGAAAUUUGGGAUGUCUAAGGACAUGCGCUAAUCUGUGGUGAGGGUUGGUUUGGAAAACGCCGUUGGUGGUGGUGGGUUUAUAUAUGUAUAUUUUUAUUGAAG